rnacentral:lncRNA from 13 species
AGCUCAUAAAUGCUUCACAAUCAGAUUCUGUAAACACAGGAAUCUCCAGGCUGGGUGGGAGUAAGUCUUAAAGAUCAACAAAUCAAUCAUUUGAAUGCUCUGAAAUUGUCUAAAACCUUCCUAUGAAGCCUCAGGCAAACAGCAGCUCUGGAAAGAAAGAAAUCUAAAGGGAGAGAUGAGAGACAGUACAUAUCAACCAAGAGUGAAGAGGCUGAGGCAGCUAAAAUGCCUGCCCCUGCUGCACAGUCCAGCAACUACACUGUGUGCCAUGGGCAUACUGAAUAAAGAAUCAGUGUGAUGGAAGACAAAGGGCUGAAGAACCAGUCAAAAGAAAAAAUGAGCAAAGGCAACAGAGUGGAAAAAUCAGCCACAAGGAUAAGCAACAUUCUAGGGCAGCAAAGCCUACUAUGAUACUUCGGAUCUUUCCUGUGCCCUGACCUUGACUGGGUUUUUCUGUUGCUUAGAAUAACUCAACUAUGCUUCCAGCUUCCUUCUAUCAAUUUUGUGAAUUAUUCAAUAGUCUCCAAAUAAAAACCCAGCAUCGUUUCACCUCUGACUGUCUGUGUGACCUUGGACAAGUCAUUUCAGCCAUGACCAUUGGCAGAUGAAAAGAAUAGAAGCACUUGCCUCUAUGUUCAGUUGAAAUAAUUAAAUGAGAAACAGCUUGAUUUCAUCGCCUUGUCCUCCUGAGCCAGAGAGAGGAGCUGUCCAAAUUAUAGAUAUGAAGGCUAAAAAGUACUUACAACCUAGGUCUACCAUUCCUGCAAUGCUAUUUGUGACAAGCUGGCAUUCUGGAAAUGCCUCUUUCAACAAUAAGAAAGACAUUAUCCACAGAUUCAAACCUUCUCUCAAAGCCUACUUUGUUUCCCGUGUGUGCUGAGCAAUGUUGGGCAAGCAAGUCUAGGCCCACCUACUGUUUGCUUCACCUCUAGCCCAUCUCCAUGCCUGAUUACCCCUAUAAUAAAUCAUUUUCCUCCAACA